UACGGAGGGAGCUAGCGUUAUUCGGAAUUACUGGGCGUAAAGCGCACGUAGGCGGCUUUGUAAGUAAGAGGUGAAAGUCCAGAGCUCAACUCUGGAAUUGCCUUUUAGACUGCAUCGCUUGAAUCAUGGAGAGGUCAGUGGAAUUCCGAGUGUAGAGGUGAAAUUCGUAGAUAUUCGGAAGAACACCAGUGGCGAAGGCGGCUGACUGGACAUGUAUUGACGCUGAGGUGCGAAAGCGUGGGGAGCAAACAGG
rnacentral:rRNA from 1 species